CCUAAAUAGGAUAAAACCCCACUUUUUGAUGCCUGCCAGAGGCAUUAGAACAAAAAUCAAGUUAUGUAAUACCUGUGAAUGGAUCUGGUGCAGGUACAGCAUUGGACCCAGAUGAAGAGCCUGGAACAUAGCGACCACUGCCUGUGAAGUAGUAAGAAAAGGAAAGCCAGUUUAUUCUCUUAUGUUGACGAUAAUUUCUACUGAAACCCAUUAGUCUCUGCACUGGUCACUCUUCAGAUAGCAAAGUGGCUCAAAAUGAGGCUGAAUUCAGUUUGUGCCUUAAUAACCCUUAACUGUGGGAUGAUAAAGAUGUUUUGCAGGGGGUUUUUGUUUCUAAAGAAAAUUAGACACACACACACUUUCUAGUUAUCUAGCCAAGACAACUGAGCACUUUUUUUUUUUCCCCAUUUAAAAAAGGUGUACAUUUCUACACGUUUGUUGUGACCUUCAGCUUCCUAGCAAAUUGCCAAAUCAACCAUCUAUGUUGCAAAAUUAGGGCACUCUUGGGUUAAAAUCAUUCCAUUUAGACUGAGAUUUACCAGAUUUGUAAUGUAUGUCCAAAAGGAAGAUAUUAAAAGUCUUGCAUACAAAAUUAUGUCUGUUCAUUGAAUUUGACUACUCUCAAGAAAUCAGCUCCACACAUUUAAAAAAAGACAAAAAGGUUAAAAAUGUAUUUUAUUUUUAAAAUAACAUUUUAAAAAAGUUUCCUUGCUACUACUACCCCUUAUUAAAAAUCAAUAAAUUCCCACCAUGUAUGCAUUUUACUUGUUGUUCUUCAAUGGGAUUGGAAAAUACACAUACUAGUCUAUCCUAUUUAGGUUCUUACACCUUGUUCAUUACCAUCUGAGUACUUUCUAGACUUUCAAAAGACAAACUGGGUGAGGUAAUGUCUUUUAUUAGACUGACUUAGUGCUUACAGAGAGCUUCUCUUCAGGUCUAAGUAAACAGAAACACUAAUAUCUGUCAAGUGGGGUUUCUCUCCAACCCCAAGGAAUGAACUGCAUGUGUAUGUUCUUAUUAGUUAUUUCAACAGUUUAUGAAAAUCAGAUGCAACUGGAUUAUGAACUAGCAAAAUGCUGAAUACAUUGCAAGGGAAUGUUUCAAUCUCAGUAGAACUUGUAACUGAAAUAUAAAAGUCUUAAAGUAUUUCUAUUCAGACUAGAGAUUUUUUUUGUUUUUAAAACACUAAGCAAAAAACAAUUGUACUACGAUCCCUGAGUUUUUAAAUUUAAGGCAAAAAAAAAGGUUAUGCUGCUUUGAAAAGCUGUGUUCCUAUUACGGAUUAUAAAAAGAAAAUUAAAGAGUAAAUGGAGUAAUUUUUUGUUGAAGAUUCAAUUUAACAAAAAAAAAUGCAAACCCAACACAGCAGUUAAACUAGUAACAAUUAAACAAAAUAUAGAGGAAGUCAAUUCAAGUACAGAAGCUAGAUCAGGCAAAGCCCCACGGUAAAUCAGUGUCUUGCUAUGCAAGUACUGGAUAUUGAAUUUGGAAGCUUAGUGGGCUCAUAUUUGCAUGGUAAUAUACAGAAUGCUUUCCCAGCAUUCUGCUAAACUGAUGUCCCAUAUUUGUGACCAUGCCAACUAUAUAAAAAUAUGUUGUACGCUGCAGACAGAAAAGAACAUGCACCUUAUAGUUUGCAGUUUUAAUUCAGAAAGAUAUUAACCUCUGAAAUCUUAAAGUGUCCACCAGUGAUAGUUACCUGUAAGGAUUUUUUCCUUUUACCUGUAAAGGGAUCUGAAAAUCCAGUGUCUGUAUUCCCCAGCGUUUGCCCUUUGGUGUUGUCUAUAAUAAACUUGGCCACCUGAUCCAGAAACAUGGCAUUUAGAUCAUUCUUCUGCAGGAAAUUGUAUGCAGUCAGCCAGGGAUCAUCACUGAUGUUAUAUGGCAAUUUGUAGGAAGGCCCAUUUUCAUUCACAUCAAUAGUGAAAACAUAAUCAUAUUCCUUUAAGUGGAAAUAAAAAUGGAAAUAAGUCAAAAAGGUGUCAACAUCUUUAUCUACAGAUACAUCAAAUGUGGACUGUAAGAACAGUACAGGUAAAUGAUGCCAGACUAAGAUUUCUGGUUUUGAGAACAUGAAUAUCCUUGUUAUCAGACUUCAUUAAAAAGUAAAAUAUAGUACUCUCCUAUGCUGACUGUUUGUCUAAAUAUUUUAUUUUAGAAAAUACUGGACAGAGUUAAAAAACAAGCGUGGGCUAGAUUAGUAAAUUUUACCAUGAAUGGAAGCUACCGUUUCCCUUAGAGUGCAGAGCUGUUCCUUUUGAAAAGGGCAAAGAAUAGGAAAACUGAAAUCACACUUGUGUGUGUGGCUUUUAGAGACAAACUAAUACUAAAAAUAAUUAAGCAGACACAUCACAUCAAUUCUUGUGAACAAGUCUGGCCAUCUACAGAAUCUGUAGAGGUUAGAAUAGAUCAGAGGCACUAUAAAAUGCAGUCUCGAAUGUAUGUAUGUAUGUAUGUAUGUAUGUAUCAUGACAAACUAGUGACCUUUUCAGACAUACAACUACAACUCUCAUUGAAGUCAAUAGAAAUUGCAGGUACUGAAAAGCAAGCCACAAGAUAAUCAAAAUCUAAUGAGACAUUAGCAAUAAGCAAUAAGUGAAUAAGAACUCAAUCCCGAAUAGUAAAUUAAAUACUGUCUAGAGUGUAUGUAGUUUUCCACAUUAGCUAGUUUGCUCCAGCAAAUGCAUUUCAGAAAUAUUAAGGUACAUACUAUAGGCAACUACAGUAUUUAACAGUUCUGCUUCUAAAUAAGAGAUGUUUGUUAGACCUAGUAUCUAUAAUGAAGUAAUGACAAGUACCCAACUUAUUUUAAAAAGUUUAUUGCAAACAAUGACUGGAGUAAUGAAGAGUUACUAGAACAUCAAUACGAUGAUCUAAGAAAAAACUUUACAUACCUUUCCUUCAAAUAAAACCCUUCCAGAUGAUUGCUGUGUGGCUCCAGACGAGCCAACCACUUCACCAAUCUUGAUCCACCUCCCUUCGCUAACACUCCACUGGUAGGCUUCAACUUUCCCAUUAUCUUUAAUUAGUCGUGUCUGCCCCUCUCUUGUUCCUUGAAAUAAUUAAAAAAAAAAAAAAAAGACACUAUAUAGCUAGAGAGAAAUAAGAUAGUGAAGCAGCUUCCAAUAAGAAAUAAUGUUUCCAAGUACACAAACCUUCAAAUUUGGCACAGGUUUUGCUUUCUGACUGGAAAAAAAACCAAAACCAUCUUUCUGCUUAAGAGCUAUCCAAAUUAUCACUGCUUCCUUUCAUUUCACUUGGCUCCAUUCUUUUCUUAUGGAGAUCCUCAUUCUGAAUUAAGUAAAUUUACGAUAAAAUUUUGAUGCAAUUAAGACAGUUUUAUUUCAACAUUCAUGGGUUUGAAAGGGUUAAGUUUGUUUUGUAACUAUUUUUUUCUUUUUUAGGAAAACAAUGCCACAUCAAGUUGUCCCUUACUGAGUCACAUUGCUAAACAAAAACUGCUGCACUGGUGCAUACUAAAGCUAUUAAAGGCUCAUCAUAAAUGUAAUCUGUUCUAUUUCUAGGAAGAGAUAGAAGAAUAUCAAUUAAACCCUCAGAAACAAAAUAUUUUAUUAGAGGCAUAACAGAGCCUCCAUAAUACCAGUGAACACAGAAGAAUGAAAUUAAUUUUUUUGUUAAAGAACACAAUUUAAGUGAUCAUCAAAGCCUUCUCCAUCUCCAGGAGAGAUUAAGCUCCUUAUAAUACAAAACCAAGGUUUAUUGUUUGUUUGUCUUUUAAUGCAAUAGAAACUGAAGAAUUUACCAGGUUCUUUCAGAUGUUCUCUUCCAGGAAGAUCAUCAGCAUUAAUGUCUCCCAAAUCACUAGUUUUAGGGUCAAUAGUUGCUUGGGAAAGUUCAUUUUCGAAAGCUUGAAUCUCCUCAGCACUCGCUGUCCGCUCCAAAGACUCUGUAAAUACUCUGAUAAUCCCAUCGCUGAAUGCGGAGAAAUACAACAUAUUUAAAAAUGUAAUCUCCAUCAUCUGAUAUGUCAAAGUGGUUAUGUUCCUGGUAUGGAAUAAAGUUAUUUCUAAUAU